rnacentral:rRNA from 1 species
UCGCCUGUUUAUCAAAAACAUGUCCUCUUGUAAAUUAUUUGAGGUCUGACCUGCCCACUGAGAUUCUUCUUGAAGGGCCGCGGUAUUUUGACCGUGCAAAGGUAGCAUAAUCAUUAGUCUUUUAAUUGAAGGCUAGAAUGAAUGGUUGGACGAGGCAUUGACUGUCUCUGUGUAAUUGAUAUUAAAAUUUAACUUUUGAGUGAAAAGGCUUAAAUGUUUUUAAAGGACGAGAAGACCCUAUAGAGCUUUAUAUUCUAUUAUUUAUAAUUUUUUUAGUUUAAUUAUUAUUAUACUUAAUAAAAUAUUUUGUUGGGGUGACAGGAAGAUAUAAUAAACUCUUUUUAUUUUAAAACAUUUAUUUAUGAAUUAUUGAUCCAUUUUUAUUGAUUAAAAGACUAAGUUACCUUAGGGAUAACAGCGUAAUUUUUUUCGAGAGUUCUUAUCGACAAGAAAGGUUGCGACCUCGAUGUUGGAUUAAGGGUAAUUUUGGGUGUAGAUGNUCAAAGUUUAGGUCUGUUCGACCNUUNNAUCCUUACAUGAUCUGAGNUCAAACCGGAGA